ensembl:lncRNA
AGCAUGUUUAUAUCUAGGCCUAUAGGCUAUAUAGUGAGACCAACUCGAUUAUGUUCUUUGCGGUGCCUCAUGGAAGCAGGCAUUCCCUGCAAACUCUUUCAGGCGUAGUUUGCUUGCUCCGACUCGAAUUGGUGGGAAUUUCUGCACAGCAUCAUGGGUAAUGUAGUCAAAAUUUCACCGCAAAUUUCGCUACUAAACACGAUUCUUUUAAAAAUAAGUUGAAAUACUGCAAACGGGUAGCUGCAACAAAAGCAUAUACCAUCGAUUAACAACCUUGGUGCUCACAGUAGAUCCGCCUUUAAAGCUUUAUAAGCAUAGUUGUCAACCCUCCCGUUUUUUCCGGGUUUCUCACGUAUUUUAGCUCUUUUCCCGCUGUCUUCCCGUUUUAGUAUUUUCCCAUAAAAUAUCCCAUAUUUUUACACUCUGGUUGUGUUAACUCGGAACACGCAACUAUCUGUGUGUCUGUGAAGUGGCUUGCACUUGGGUUGCUAGACCUCCAGUAAAGCAGGUGGCAGUAUACAGUAGCUUAGGCUACUAUCAAAGAAGAAGACAGCUGCAGCGGCGCCAGUGGGUGGGAGGAAGAGGGAAAAAGUAGCGGGAAGUGAACUUCGAGAGUAGAUGAGUGUGAUGUGCGAUGAUGGAUGAUUAAAUCACAGAGUUAAUCACCAACCGAAACCGAGGACAUUAUGCCGAUAUUUGAGUAAAUGGGAGACCACCUUCCACUACCUGACAAGCAGCCAUGUAGGUCCAAAUUAUGCCUACUGCAAAAUUUGUCGUUGUAAUUUCAGUGUUGGUCAUGGAGGGAAAAACGACGUUUCGCAGCACGACAAAUCACUGAAACACAAGCGCGCGAGUGAGUCAGCUAGGCACACAACAUCAUUAUCAUCAUUCAUGGUGAACCGUGCCUCGUCUGAAGCUGAUCAGAUAUUGAAAGCUGAGGUGAAAAUGUUGAUGCUAAUUGCCAAAAAUAACGUCGCGUUCAGUUUUUUGGACGACUUCAACCGUAGUGUGGCUGACAUGUUCCCGGAUUCAGCGAUUGCCAAGAAAUACACUCUGGGGAAAACGAAGGCUACACAAAUCAUUAAAGGUGCCAUAGCACUGGACAUGGAUGAAGAUGUGACAUCAAUCUGUAAAUCCCAGCCUUUCUCUCUUUUAUGUGAUGAGUCCAACAACAGAA